GAUUUCUGGUACGACGCUCUUGGCCCGCUUCGGUUACGGAGUAGAGUGCCGGUGAGCGUCUGCCAUCCUUCUAGUAUGUACGACUCUUCCCUUCACUGGGUUAGAGCUCGGAAGCUAGAUCAUUUACUUUGAAAAAAUUAGAGUGUUUAAAGCAGGCUUAUGCUAUGAAUACAUUAGCAUGGAAUAAUAAUUUAGGACUUUGGUUCUAUUUUGUUGGUUUCUAGGACUGAAGUAAUGAUUGAUAGGGAUAGUUGGGGGUGCUAGUAUUCCGCGGCCAGAGGUGAAAUUCUUGGAUUCGUGGAAGACUAACUACUGCGAAAGCAUU
rnacentral:rRNA from 1 species